ensembl:lncRNA
CAGGCAGUCAGGAGAGGAGGAUAUUCAGGCAGUCAGGAGAGGAGGAUAUUCAGGCAGUCAGGAGAGGAGGAUAUUCAGGCAGUCAGGAGAGGAGGAUAUUCAGGCAGGAGAGGAGGAUAUUCAGGGAGGAGAUUAGGAUAUUCAGGCAGGAGAGGAGGAUAUUCAGCACCCAGUUAAGGCUACCACAUCGUUCAGGGCAUUGUGUGACCGGUGAAGUGAAGGCUACUAUAGUUCAUUAUUUGAGCGGAGAAUCCAAAUCCAAGCCAAUUCUAAAAUCUACUAUAUUAUAGAAAAUUAGCUCAGUAAAAAAUGUCUGGACAG